rnacentral:rRNA from 1 species
UACGAAGGGAGCUAGCGUUGUUCGGAAUCACUGGGCGUAAAGCGCACGUAGGCGGAUUUGCCAGUCAGGGGUGAAAUCCCGGGGCUCAACCUCGGAACUGCCUUUGAUACAGCAAGUCUUGAGUUCGAGAGAGGUGGGUGGAAUUCCUAGUGUAGAGGUGAAAUUCGUAGAUAUUCGCAAGAACACCAGUGGCGAAGGCGGCUCACUGGCCCGGUACUGACGCUGAGGUGCGAAAGCGUGGGGAGCAAACAGG